rnacentral:rRNA from 1 species
UACGGGGGGGGCAAGCGUUGUUCGGAAUUACUGGGCGUAAAGGGCCCGUAGGCGGCCAACUAAGUCAGACGUGAAAUCCCUCGGCUUAACCGGGGAACUGCGUCUGAUACUGGAUGGCUUGAGUUCGGGAGAGGGAUGUGGAAUUCCAGGUGUAGCGGUGAAAUGCGUAGAUAUCUGGAGGAACACCGGUGGCGAAGGCGGCAUCCUGGACCGACACUGACGCUGAUGAGCGAAAGCCAGGGGAGCAAACGGG